GACGAACGCUGGCGGCGUGCUUAACACAUGCAAGUCGAACGGAAAGGCCCUGCUUUUGUGGGGUGCUCGAGUGGCGAACGGGGGAGUAACACGUGAGUAACCUGCCCUUGACUUUGGGAUAACUUCAGGAAACUGGGGCUAAUACCGGAUAGGAGCUCCUGCUGCAUGGUGGGGGUUGGAAAGUUUCGGCGGUUGGGGAUGGACUCGCGGCUUAUCAGCUUGUUGGUGGGGUAGUGGCUUACCAAGGCUUUGACGGGUAGCCGGCCUGAGAGGGUGACCGGCCACAUUGGGACUGAGAUACGGACCAGACUCCUACGGGAGGCAGCAGUGGGGAAUAUUGCACAAUGGGCGGAAGCCUGAUGCAGCAACGCCGCGUGCGGGAUGACGGCCUUCGGGUUGUAAACCGCUUUCGCCUGUGACGAAGCGUGAGUGACGGUAAUGGGUAAAGAAGCACCGGCUAACUACGUG
rnacentral:rRNA from 1 species